rnacentral:rRNA from 1 species
CACGUAGGGUGCGAGCGUUGUUCGGAAUUACUGGGCGUAAAGGGCGCGUAGGCGGUCUUUUAAGUCUUGUGUGAAAUCCCUCGGCUCAACUGAGGAACUGCACGGGAGACUGUCGGGCUUGAGUUCGGGAGAGGGAAGCGGAAUUCCGGGUGGUAGCGGUGAAAUGCGUAGAGAUGUGGAGGAAUACCGAUGGCGAAGGCAGCCCCCUGGGACGUCACUGACGCUCAUGCACGAAAGCGU